rnacentral:rRNA from 1 species
AGGACGAACGCUGGCGGCGUGCUUAACACAUGCAAGUCGAGCGGAAAGGCCCUUCGGGGUACUCGAGCGGCGAACGGGUGAGUAACACGUGAGCAACCUGCCCCUGGCUCUGGGAUAGCUCCGGGAAACCGGGAUUAAUACCGGAUAUGACCUUGCACGACAUCGUGCUUGGUGGAAAGUUUUUCGGCUGAGGAUGGGCCCGCGGCCUAUCAGCUUGUUGGUGGGGUAACGGCCCACCAAGGCGACGACGGGUA